GAGUUUGAUCUUGGCUCAGGAUGAACGCUGGCGGCGUGCCUAAUACAUGCAAGUCGAGUGAACAGACGAGGAGCUUGCUCCUCUGACGUUAGCGGCGGACGGGUGAGUAACACGUGGAUAACCUACCUAUAAGACUGGGAUAACUUCGGGAAACCGGAGCUAAUACCGGAUAAUAUAUUGAACCGCAUGGUUCAAUAGUGAAAGACGGUUUUGCUGUCACUUAUAGAUGGAUCCGCGCCGCAUUAGCUAGUUGGUAAAGUAACGGCUUACCAAGGCAACGAUGCGUAGCCGACCUGAGAGGGUGAUCGGCCACACUGGAACUGAGACACGGUCCAGACUCCUACGGGAGGCAGCAGUAGGGAAUCUUCCGCAAUGGGCGAAAGCCUGACGGAGCAACGCCGCGUGAGUGAUGAAGGUCUUCGGAUCGUAAAACUCUGUUAUUAGGGAAGAACAAAUGUGUAAGUAACUAUGCACGUCUUGACGGUACCUAAUCAGAAAGCCACGGCUAACUACGUGCCAG
rnacentral:rRNA from 1 species